UACGAAGGGGGCUAGCGUUGUUCGGAAUCACUGGGCGUAAAGCGCACGUAGGCGGAUUUUUAAAUCAGGGGUGAAAUCCCGAGGCUCAACCUCGGAACUGCCUUUGAUACUGGAGAUCUUGAGUCCGGAAGAGGUAAGUGGAACUGCGAGUGUAGAGGUGAAAUUCGUAGAUAUUCGCAAGAACACCAGUGGCGAAGGCGGCUUACUGGUCCGGAACUGACGCUGAGGUGCGAAAGCGUGGGGAGCAAACAGG
rnacentral:rRNA from 1 species